rnacentral:rRNA from 1 species
GUCCACGCAGUAAACGUUGUUCACUAGGUGUAGCGGGUAUUGACCCCUGCUGUGCCGCAGUUAACGCAUUAAGUGAACCGCCUGGGGAGUACGGCCGCAAGGUUAAAACUCAAAGGAAUUGACGGGGGCCCGCACAAGCGGUGGAGCAUGUGGUUUAAUUCGACGCAACGCGAAGAACCUUACCUGGAUUUGACAUCCCGGGAAUUCUAUCGAAAGACUGAAGUGCCCUUCGGGGAGCCCGGUGACAGGUGCUGCAUGGCU